rnacentral:misc_RNA from 1 species
UUUAUUUAUUUAUUUAUUUUUUGAAUUGUUUAUGGUAUGAAUUGAAACCGUGGUGUGAGGAUCUGAACCUAGUGUCUGAGUCUUAUCUGUUUUAAUGCCACGAGUGCCUUCUUCAAGUUGUUUAGGAUAAUUGGUAGGUAGGAUAGUUGGAAUCAGAAGUUGUGAGAGCUGACAAUCUCGAAUCUUUUUACCUGUAGUAAUCUUAUUCAUAAAGAUCACGCUUUUGCCAUCCCUACAAUUUAGUCUUUGUUUGCCAUUUGAAGAUUCCAAAAAGAUGCUUUAUACAGGGAGUGGUGCAUUGGAUGGUGGUGCCUUAAGAAGUCAGUAUGUCUCUUGGCGACCUAUUGGAGGCUUUUAGCAUUGGUUGGCUUUAGUUUUCAGGAUGGUUGGCUCUAGUUUUCCCUCUUGAUGUUUUGAAAGUCGAGGUUAGAGAUGGCUGGCUCAUUACUUUGAUUUUGUGAAGACAUAUGGUGGUGGGGAUGAUGGUACUCUUAUGGAAGUGCAUUUUUCACUUUACAAAGUGUUCAACUAGGCUUUGGUGAGAGAGCAAAUGGUGUACGAGGCUAGUGUGAUUAAUUGGAACCAUGGAUUUAAAUUGUAGUCAUGGGUAAUGGAACAGGUAUGUAACAACUGUAAUGUAACAGCAACGGCAUAUUGCUAUGCA